ACUCCUACGGGAGGCAGCAGUGGGGAAUCUUGGACAAUGGGCGCAAGCCUGAUCCAGCCAUGCCGCGUGAGUGACGAAGGCCUUAGGGUUGUAAAGCUCUUUUAGCAGGGAAGAUAAUGACGGUACCUGCAGAAUAAGCCCCGGCUAACUUCGUGCCAGCAGCCGCGGUGAUACGAAGGGGCUAGCGUUGUUCGGAAUUACUGGGCGUAAAGCGCACGUAGGCGGAUCAUUUAGUCAGGGGUGAAAUCCCGGGGCUCAACCACUGAAUUGCAUUGGAUACUGGAAAGCUAGAAUCUUGGAGAGGUAAGUGGAAUUUCAUGUGUAGCGGUGGAAUGCGUAGAUAUAUGAAGGAACACCAAUGGCGAAGGCAGCUUACUGGACAAGUAUUGACGCUGAGAUGCGAAAGUGUGGGUAGCAAACAGGAUUAGAUACCCUGGUAGGCUCUGC
rnacentral:rRNA from 1 species